GGGUGUUUGUGUCUAUAUUCACCAGGGAUAUUAGCCUAUAGUUUUCUUUUUAUGUUGUGUCUUUGCCAGAUUUUGGUAUCAGGAUGAUGCUGGCUUCAUAGGA